rnacentral:rRNA from 1 species
GAUGAACGCUGGCGGCGUGCCUAAUACAUGCAAGUCGAGCGAACAGACGAGGAGCUUGCUCCUCUGACGUUAGCGGCGGACGGGUGAGUAACACGUGGAUAACCUACCUAUAAGACUGGGAUAACUUCGGGAAACCGGAGCUAAUACCGGAUAAUAUAUUGAACCGCAUGGUUCAAUAGUGAAAGACGGUUUUGCUUUCACUUAUAGAUGGAUCCGCUCCGCAUUAGCUAGUUGGUAAGGUAACGGCUUACCAAGGCGACGAUGCGUAGCCGACCUGAGAGGGUGACCGGCCACACUGGAACUGAGACACGGUCCAGACUCCUACGGGAGGCAGCAGUAGGGAAUCUUCCGCAAUGGGCGAAAGCCUGAUGGAGCAACGCCGCGUGAAUGAUGAAGGUCUUCGGAUCGUAAAACUCUGUUAUUAGGGAAGAACAAAUGUGUAAGUAACUCUGCACGUCUUGACGGUACCUAAUCAGAAAGCCCCGGCUAACUACGUG